rnacentral:rRNA from 1 species
UACGGGGGGGGCAAGCGUUGUUCGGAAUUACUGGGCGUAAAGGGCGCGUAGGCGGUUCGUUAAGUCGGAUGUGAAAACUCUGGGCUCAACCCAGAGCCUGCAUCCGAAGCUGGCGAGCUAGAGUUCUGGAGGGGGUAGCGGAAUUCCUGGUGUAGCGGUGAAAUGCGUAGAUAUCAGGAGGAACACCGGUGGCGAAGGCGGCUACCUGGACAGAAACUGACGCUGAGGCGCGAAAGCUAGGGGAGCAAACGGG